AGCAGUGUAGCUUAAUGUUAAAGCACCUGUCUACAAAACACGAAUAAUAGCCGUUUGAUUCGGUUCAUUGCCACCA
rnacentral:tRNA from 1 species